AAUCUUCUUUCUUUCCUUCAUAGUACCUUUCUGUUGUUUUAGUCCUUCCAUGAUUAUCAUACCUUUGUUGUAAUGCCUUUCCAAUUGUAUUGAUCUGCCAGUUUGCUGUAAAUGGUGUGUCCCCUGCAGUGUGGUUGAGGAAGCACUGGGAAGAGGAGCUGCUGCCUUUUGGUCUCUGAAAGACAAGAAGAAAAGAAAUAAAGAUGAACAAGAAGGUUGGAAGAAUGAGUGAAGAUGGAAGACCGCACAGAAACUGUUUCUCAUUAUCCCUUGUUGGAGACUACUCCCCUUCACCUGCUGGGUGCAGAAGUAUGAUGGAGAAGAUCAGUAAUUUCACCUGCAUGUGCCAGCAGGGUUCAUAAAACAAUUGCACAGAGCUAGAAGAUCUGAGCCCUCCUCUGGUGAGGUAUGGAAAUAAUGCCUUCCUUAGUGGGCCUAACUGUUAGUAGAAAAGCAGUUACGAAUGGUCUCCAAACAAAACCUCCAGAUUCCAAGACAUAACUAAAGCCCCACUGAAGUGUCUGUCAUGCAAACAGCAACCCCAUUCCUUGCUCAGGACUUGCAGCUCCUGCUGUAGAUGGUAUAGCUCUAAAUUCAUACUAGUUUCAGAUGCUUCCCAAUAGGUUUUGUCUUGAGUGAUGCAGCAUAAAGUUGUUUGUACUACUGAUAUAUACACUGUAAGUGGAGGUACAAGCUAGAAUCGUUAUACUGCUUCAUUGAAGUAGGAACAUCAAAUGGGUUCACAGUCUCCUGGUAUACUGUUCAUACAUAUUAUGGGGCCGUUAGCUUCCAUAAUUAAGCCCUGUUUUCCCUGUAUGUGCAGGAAAGGUAGGAGUUGAUAAUUGGUUAUCUAAAAGGGACAUUUCAUAUUGUGUAUCUUAAUACAUAAGAUACUUUUUGAGGCUUUCACAAACCUAAAUACAGACAAAAUGCCUACAUAUGAAUGCUACUAUAUUGUUUGGAAUACUUUGAUAUUUUUUCCUGUAAAUCAGCCUCUUGUAUUUUAUUCAUGUGAAAUAACAGUUCAGUAUUCUGUAAACUAUUCCAUUGUGUAUUCUAACUGGUCAGUAUUCCUGAAAUACACAGGUAUCAAAUUCUUUAUGCAUCUUUUUCUAAUAUGGAGUAAAUCCUUAUGAUGCCUUCCUUUGUGUUUUUGGAAAUGAUAUAAUGUGGUGUACAAGUGUAAUUAUCCACCUUAGACUUUUCUGAAUUGUAGUUUUGUUUGUUUUUGAGGAGAAUCAGUUGGUAUGGAGCUUAGAGAACCACUUAAGAUUGGAAUGGUUUCUAAUGAACAGAUUUUCUGAUGCAAAUGGAAAGUAAAGUUGAGAGAUUUUUUUUAAUAUGCAGACUAAUACAGCUGUAGGUCACAACAGACUUGGUCCUUUUUUGGGUGUUUCCAGGCUGCCCUACUCAAGGGCAUGAGGCUUCAGCCUAUCAGCAAGAAAAAAUGAGAUGCUAACUUGCCAAAUAUAGGGAAAUGAAUAAAUAGAACAAUAAAAGUCAGUAAAGUAGGAAAUCUCAUGCAGUGUGAAUGAUUUCCUACAUCGU
ensembl:lncRNA